rnacentral:rRNA from 1 species
UGUAAAGUUCAAGCUCCGAUUGUGAGGGCGAAACCGCGAAUGGCUCAUUAAAUCAGUCAUAAUCUACUUGAUUGUUUAAAGGUUAUAUGGAUAACUGUGGUAAUUCUAGAGCUAAUACAUGCACAAAGGGGGCGACUCUGCGAGGAGAAGCUCUGCGUUUAUUAGUUUAGGACCAACUUGGACGUGCGUUUACCGUGCGCUCCAAUCAAUGUUGUGGUGACUCUGAGUAAAUAAUGGCUGUAUGGCCAUGAUGCCGACCUGACAUACCAAAUUGCAGCAAUGCAAGUCAGGCAAAUCAAUCGAGUGUCUGCUCUAUCAACUGUGGAUGGUAGGGUAAUUGCCUACCAUGGUGAUGACGGGUAACGGGGAGUUAGGGCUCGACUCCGGAGAACAAGCCUGAGAAACGGCUAGUAGGACUAAGGUCUGCAGCAGGCGCGAAACUUACACAAUGCUCGAAUACUUAACUGAGCGAUGUAGUGAAGAAAAAUAACGAUGUAUUUGUCUUUUAACAGACUAGUACAAUUGGAAUGAGACGACUUUAAAACAGUUAGUCGAGUAACAAAUGGAGGGCAAGUCUGGUGCCAGCAGCCGCGGUAAUUCCAGCUCCAUUAGCAUACAUUAAAGUUGUUGCGGUUAAAAAGCUCGUAGUUGAAUAUCUGGCGGGCCCCCGUGGGUGGCGACCGUUAAGGGACGCAAGUCCUGGUCGUUUAACCUUAUUAGGGGUCCGUUGUUUCGUCACUUAAUCGAGUGCGAAGCGGGGCUCGUUUGACGCAGGGACACUCCGGUGCACCCGGUCUUAUGAGCCAUGUUUACCUUGAGAAAAUUAGAGUGCUCAGAGCAGGCAGUCGGGGUGUAAAAACCCUUUUUACGCUUGAAUAAUGUUGCAUGGAAUAAUAGAAUACGGCCUCGGUUCUAUUCUGUUGGUCUUAUAGAACAACAAACAAGUUGGUUGAGGCAACAAACGGUUCUGUAGUAGUGUGGUUUUGGUGGCUCUCGUUCAGGUUGGCUUGUUGUCUGGAACCUAAAAAUUUCAGUACCUUCCAGCCUGCAACUGAUCCCACUAACCAUCCAAGCAUUAGUACAUGAACUAGCCACCAUCCAACUGAGGCAAUGGUUAAAAGAAAUAGUUGCGGCGGCAUCAGUACUGCAUCGUGAGAGGUGAAAUUCUUAGACCGAUGCAAGACUAACUGAAGCGAAAGCGUUUGCCGAGGAUAUUUUCAUUAAUCAAGAACGAAAGUUAGAGGUUCGAAGGCGAUCAGAUACCGCCCUAGUUCUAACCAUAAACGUUGCCAACUAGCAAUUGGGUUGCGAUUCCUUUAAUUGAAGCCGUAAAAAAGCUUCAAUCAUUAUGAUCCACCCAGCGGCUCUCGUAGGGAAACCAAAGUGUUUGGGUUCCGGGGGAAGUAUGAUUGCAAAGUUGAAACUUAAAGGAAUUGACGGAAGGGCACCACCAGGAGUGGAGCCUGCGGCUUAAUUUGACUCAACACGGGGAAACUUACUAGAUUAGAACUCUGGAAUGAUUGACAGAUUGAUAGCUCUUUCUUGAUUCAGAGGAUGGUGGUGCAUGGCCGUUCUUGAUUCGUAUUCCGAAACGUCUGCUUAAUUGCGAUAACGAGUGAGACCUCACCCAACUAACUAGUCACUUAGUGCGCUGUGGGACGCAAAAGUUUCGGGUGGACAAUUGGCGCGUGGGCGUAAAAAACCUGCGUGUUGACCCAUCCGGAAUGUCCUCUGCUCGCUGGUGGACUUCUUAGAGGGAUAAACGGUGUUUUAGCCGUAAGAAACGAGGCAAUAACAGGUCUGUGAUGCCCUUAGAUAUUCUAGGCCGCACGCGUGCUACAAUGGCGUGUGCAGAAAGCUUAUUCGAGGUUCGUCCCUGGAGAACUAGUUGUUUGGUGCUUGAUGUGGGCAACUAUGUUAGGUGUCGGCAAAAAAGUGACCAGGUGCUACGAGCCGAGAGAAACCGUGCUCGAAAGAGUACGGCAAUCAUAAAUACACGCCGUGAUUUGGGAUUGGGGAUUGCAAUUGUUGCCCAUGAACGAGGAAUUCCCAGUAAGCGCAAUUCAUCAUAUUGCGUUGAUUACGUCCCUGCCCUUUGUACACACCGCCCGUCGCUACUACCGAUUGAAAGUUUUAGUGAGGUAUUUGGACUUGCUAGCCAUGGAAGCAAUUCCGAGGAUCAGCGAGGAAGCUUAUCGAACUCAAAUUUUUAGAGGAAGUAAAAGUCGUAACAAGGUUUCCGU